rnacentral:miRNA from 1 species
CAAAAGUAAUUGCUAUUUUUGCAAUUACUUUUAAUGGCAAAGACUGCAAUUACUUUUGCACCAACCUAAU